CACCAGAAUCCACAGCUGUCACAUCUUCGACAUCACCAAGUUCUUCUGCUGGAACAACUGCAGAAACGACAC